rnacentral:rRNA from 1 species
AUUGAACGCUGGCGGCAUGCCUUACACAUGCAAGUCGAACGGCAGCACGGGAGCAAUCCUGGUGGCGAGUGGCGAACGGGUGAGUAAUAUAUCGGAACGUGCCCAGUCGUGGGGGAUAACGUAGCGAAAGCUACGCUAAUACCGCAUACGAUCUAUGGAUGAAAGCGGGGGAUCGCAAGACCUCGCGCGAUUGGAGCGGCCGAUAUCAGAUUAGGUAGUUGGUGGGGUAAAAGCCUACCAAGCCUUCGAUCUGUAGCUGGUCUGAGAGGAUGAUCCGCCACACUGGAACUGAGACACGGUCCAGACUCCUACGGGAGGCAGCAGUGGGGAAUUUUGGACAAUGGGCGCAAGCCUGAUCCAGCCAUGCCGCGUGAGUGAAGAAGGCCUCGGUUGUAAGACUCUUCGGUCCGGAGAAUACGCACAGGUAUAACCCUGUGUGGAUGACGGUACCGGAACGUAAGAAGACACCGGC